rnacentral:rRNA from 1 species
UAGAGGAAGUAAAAGUCGUAACAAGGUUUCCGUAGGUGAACCUGCGGAAGGAUCAUUACCGAAUUGUCAACAUGAGCUGUUGCUGGCCCUUCAAAUGGAGGGCAUGUGCACGCUCUGUUUGCACAUCCAUUAACACCUGUGCACCCUUGCAGUUUCAUGGUUUGGGGGGCCCUGUCCUCCUUCUGUGGUUCUGCUCCUUUACAAACACACUAUGAAGUCUUUUGGAAUGUGUGCCGCGUUUUAACGCAAUACAAUACAACUUUCAGCAACGGAUCUCUUGGCUCUCGCAUCGAUGAAGAACGCAGCGAAAUGCGAUAAGUAAUGUGAAUUGCAGAAUUCAGUGAAUCAUCGAAUCUUUGAACGCACCUUGCGCCCUUUGGCUAUUCCGAAGGGCAUGCCUGUUUGAGUAUCAUGAACACCUCAACUCUCACAGCUUGCCGUGAUGAGCUUGGACUCUGGGGGUUUUGCUGGCCCUGUGGUCGGCUCCUCUCAAAUGCAUCAGCUCGCCAGUGUUUGGUGGCGUCACAGGUGUGAUAACAUCUACGCUUGUGGUUGCCUGCCAGGUAAUCUUCAGCGAUGAAGGUUUGCUGGGGCUUCAAAACGUCUCUCCUUGGCAGAGACAGCUUCUGAACGUUCGAUCUCAAAUCAGGUAGGAUUACCCGCUGAACUUAAGCAUAUCAAUA